rnacentral:piRNA from 1 species
UUUUGGACUAAAAUAAUGUUAGGAAUGGGU